rnacentral:rRNA from 1 species
AGAGUUUGAUCAUGGCUCAGGGUAAACGCUGGCGGCGUGCCUAAAACAUGCAAGUCGAACGCGUACCUUCGGGUGCGAGUGGCAGACGGCUGAGUAACGCGUGGGUGACGUACCUGUUGGUGGGGAAUAACUGCCCGAAAGGGUGGCUAAUUCCGCAUAAGUCCUUUACUUCGAUGUGAAGGGGAAAGCUUCGCAAGAGGCGCCGAUGGAGCGGCCCGCGUCCGAUUAGCUCGUUGGUGGGGUAACGGCCUACCAAGGCGACGAUCGGUAGCUGGUCUUAGAGGAUGAUCAGCCAGACUGGGACUGAGACACGGCCCAGACUCCUACGGGAGGCAGCAGUUAGGAAUUUUGGGCAAUGGGCGCAAGCCUGACCCAGCAACGCCGCGUGGGUGACGAAGGCCUUCGGGUUGUAAAGCCCUUUUCUGAGGGAAGAUGAUGACGGUACCUCAGGAAGAAGCACCGGCUAACUACGUGCCAGCAGCCGCGGUAAUACGUAGGGUGCGAGCGUUGCCCGGAUUUAUUGGGCGUAAAGGGCGCGCAGGCGGCUACGCACGUCCGUUGUGAAAUCGCUCGGCUCAACUGGGCGGGGUCAGCGGAUACGGCGUGGCUUGAGCAAGCUAGGGGGCAAUGGAAUUCCCGGUGUAGUGGUGGAAUGCGUAGAUAUCGGGAGGAACACCAGUGGCGAAGGCGGUUGCCUGGAGCUUUGCUGACGCUGAGGCGCGAAAGCGUGGGGAGCGAUCCGGAUUAGAUACCCUAGUAGUCC